UCUUCGUCUACUUUGUAGUUUUUCCUUGAAUCUUUUGUGAUCUUGGGUGGUAUUCUUUGUGAUCUAAAGAGUCUAUGUGAUUCUAGAGAGAAAGGAAAGGAGUCGAUACUGGUUUUGGGGGUUUUCAGUCGGUCCGUUGAAGUAGCCAAGUUUAGUCUGUGUUGGCUUGGGAUUUUUGGGGUUUCCUGUUGUACAGAAAGGUACAAUGUCUUUCUGAGCCCAAAAUCGAUGAUACCUUGAGUCUUAGUAGUAGAAUGGAGUCUGUGAU
rnacentral:lncRNA from 1 species